rnacentral:rRNA from 1 species
AUUAGCGGCGGACGGGUGAGUAACGCGUGAGUAACCUGCCUUAGACAUUGGGAUAGCCUCGGGAAACCGGGAUCAAUACCAAAUAAAAUCAUAAUGACACAUGUCAUAACGAUCAAAACUCCGGUGGUCUAAGAUGGACUCGCGUCCCAUUAGCUAGUUGGUAGAGUAAAAGCCUACCAAGGCGACGAUGGGUAGCCGGCCUGAGAGGGUGAACGGCCACAUUGGAACUGAGAAACGGUCCAA